GCAGACACAUGCGCAAACAAUGGCAGUGUGAUGUCAUCCAACAGGAAGAAGUUGGUAGCCUGGCUCAGACUUCACUUGACAUCAGAACGCUUACACUUGCUCCUUUCAGGUCAGGUGCAUACGGUGUUAAGUACUUUGGACAGAGUACCAAACUGGAUCUUCACACACCGCCAUGGGUCUCAGUGAGGGAAUGGAGGCAGAGGGAUGUGUUUAAAGUGAUAUGGAGCCAGGAUUGGACCCCGGCUGUACAGCUCCCUGCUGGUUCUCCUCACGGCAGGCGCUUUUGCCGCUGAGCUAAAUCCCCAGCUAAAUACAGCUUUUCUGUGGCCUGGAGUUGGGGCACUUGGAAAAGAAUGUGGCAAAGAAAAAAAAAGUAGACCUCCAGGGAUCUGAAGGGAGGUAACAGAAAAACUAGAAGCUACAGAGAAGUUGGAAAACUGAGCACAAAUUGGAGAAAUGAACAAAGCAUUCUGGAAUGCUAACCCCAGCUCCCAGGGAAAGGAAUCUGUCUGCAUUAACACAAGACCUCAUAAAAACCUCCCUUCCUGAGCCAUCAGAGCCUGGCAUUUUUAUAAGGAUUGAUUCCUCGUCAGUUCCCAGUCCAACAUUAAAUAAAUCUGUCUCUAAAUCCUGGGUGUCAUUUUGGUGUUUCUGUUUGCCAAUGCACCUGGUGCAUCGGCUGAGAAGACCAACCAUGUUGACCUCUUUGGUCAUUGAUUGUGGACCUCAAGAAUGGAGUAGGGACCUCUCCAGGUCCCAGUGGGAAAGGGCACCCUCAAAAUUUCUCAUGUCACCUCAGAGGUCUGCAGGAAGAGUCUUGGCUCCCCACUGA
rnacentral:lncRNA from 1 species